UACAAAAGUCGCCUUGAGCACUAACAAACAUCUGGAGGGAAUGACCAGGAAACGCAGAUGUUAUCAGAACCUUGAGGCACCGGGGGAGGAAAGUCACCACAAGCCAGCAGGCAAUGAGAACAGCAAAAAUGGGGCCUAAAACUGUGAGCAAGAUAUGCCACCAGCCACCUGACUGAAACCAAGACCAUAAUUCAGAAGAAAAACCAGAGCUAUCCCGAGCCUCCAUCCCAGAUAACAGAUCUCUAAGGUGACAUGAACAGAAGACAGAUUAGUAGACAUAUCAGGAAUGAAUGUACAACACUCGUCCCCUAUAACCUUGCAGGUCCCCCCCCUUUCAGCUAAGAGAAAGUCCAGAGCCAUCCUAUUCUGCAGGGUCAUGACCCGGAGGGCCUUUAACUCAGGUGUUAAUACAUCA